UACAGAGGUCCCAAGCGUUGUUCGGAUUUACUGGGCGUAAAGCGUGCGCAGGCGGUUUGCUAAGACAGGUGUGAAAUCCCCGGGCUUAACCUGGGAACUGCGCUUGUAACUGGCAAGCUUGAGUGUGGCAGAGGGGGGUGGAAUUCCACGGUGUAGCAGUGAAAUGCGUAGAGAUGUGGAGGAACACCGAUGGCGAAGGCAGCCCCCUGGGCUAACACUGACGCCUCAUGCACGAAAGCGUGGGGAGCAAACAGG
rnacentral:rRNA from 1 species